GCUUGUCUCAAAGAUUAAGCCAUGCAUGUCUAAGUAUAAACAAAUUUAUACCGUGAAACUGCGAAUGGCUCAUUAUAUCAGUUAUAGUUUAUUUGAUGGUCCUUGCUACUUGGAUAACCGUAGUAAUUCUAGAGCUAAUACAUGCAUCAAACCCCAACUUCUGGAAGGGGUGUAUUUAUUAGAUGGAAACCAAUGCGGGGCAACCCGGAACAUGGUGAUUCAUAAUAACUUUCGGAUCGAUUUAUCGAUGCAUCAUUCAAGUUUCUGCCCUAUCAGCUUUGGAUGGUAGGGUAUUGGCCUACCAUGGCUUUCACGGGUAACGAAGAAUAAGGGUUCGAUUUCGGAGAGGGAGCCUGAGAAACGGCUACCACAUCCAAGGAAGGCAGCAG
rnacentral:rRNA from 1 species